rnacentral:misc_RNA from 1 species
UGCAGAAUCCCGUGAACCAUCGAGUUUUUGAACGCAAGUUGCGCCCGAAGCCAUUAGGCCGAGGGCACGCCUGCCUGGGCGUCACGCGCUCCGUCGCACCUCAACCCCGAACCCCGAAACGGGCCAGGGUUCUUGUGGUGCGGAGAUUGGUCUCCCGUGUGCCUUGCUCGCGGCUGGCCUAAAAUUGAGUCCCGGACGCUCUGUUCUGCGGCCGACGGUGGUUGAGAAGCCCUCGAAAAUGUGCUGCUGCAGUGCUGCCCGAUGUGGACCCUGUGACCCUUGCGCGACCUCUCCCCUUUGGGGUGAGGGAGCUCCAUCUGAGACCCCAGGUCAGGCGGGGCUACCCGCUGAAUUUAAGCAUAUCAAUAA